rnacentral:rRNA from 1 species
CAGGUGGUCAGGUAGAGAAUACCAAGGCGCUUGAGAGAACUCGGGUGAAGGAACUAGGCAAAAUGGUGCCGUAACUUCGGGAGAAGGCACGCUGAUAUGUAGGUGAAGUCCCUCGCGGAUGGAGCUGAAAUCAGUCGAAGAUACCAGCUGGCUGCAACUGUUUAUUAAAAACACAGCACUGUGCAAACACGAAAGUGGACGUAUACGGUGUGACGCCUGCCCGGUGCCGGAAGGUUAAUUGAUGGGGUUAUCCGUAAGGAGAAGCUCUUGAUCGAAGCCCCGGUAAACGGCGGCCGUAACUAUAACGGUCCUAAGGUAGCGAAAUUCCUUGUCGGGUAAGUUCCGACCUGCACGAAUGGCGUAAUGAUGGCCAGGCUGUCUCCACCCGAGACUCAGUGAAAUUGAACUCGCUGUGAAGAUGCAGUGUACCCGCGGCAAGACGGAAAGACCCCGUGAACCUUUACUAUAGCUUGACACUGAACACUGGUCCUUGAUGUGUAGGAUAGGUGGGAGGCUUUGAAGCGUGGACGCCAGUCUGCGUGGAGCCGCCCUUGAAAUACCACCCUUUAAUGGCUGGUGUUCUAACGUGGGCCCGUAAUCCGGGUUGCGGACAGUGUCUGGUGGGUAGUUUGACUGGGGCGGUCUCCUCCUAAAGAGUAACGGAGGAGCACGAAGGUUGGCUAAUCCUGGUCGGACAUCAGGAGGUUAGUGCAAUGGCAUAAGCCAGCUUGACUGCGAGCGUGACGGCGCGAGCAGGUGCGAAAGCAGGUCAUAGUGAUCCGGUGGUUCUGAAUGGAAGGGCCAUCGCUCAACGGAUAAAAGGUACUCCGGGGAUAACAGGCUGAUACCGCCCAAGAGUUCAUAUCGACGGCGGUGUUUGGCACCUCGAUGUCGGCUCAUCACAUCCUGGGGCUGAAGUAGGUCCCAAGGGUAUGGCUGUUCGCCAUUUAAAGUGGUACGCGAGCUGGGUUUAGAACGUCGUGAGACAGUUCGGUCCCUAUCUGCCGUGGGCGCUGGAGAACUGAGGGGGGCUGCUCCUAGUACGAGAGGACCGGAGUGGACGCAUCACUGGUGUUCGGGUUGUCAUGCCAAUGGCACUGCCCGGUAGCUAAAUGCGGAAGAGAUAAGUGCUGAAAGCAUCUAAGCACGAAACUUGCCCCG